rnacentral:rRNA from 1 species
CCUACGGGAGGCAGCAGUGAGGAAUAUUGGUCAAUGGACGAGAGUCUGAACCAGCCAAGUAGCGUGAAGGAUGACUGCCCUAUGGGUUGUAAACCUCUUUUAUAUGGGAAUAAAAUGUUCCACGUGUGGCAUGUUGUAUGUACCUUAUGAAUAAGGAUCGGCUAACUCCGUGCCAGCAGCCGCGGUAAUACGGAGGAUCCGAGCGUUAUCCGGAUUUAUUGGGUUUAAAGGGAGCGUAGGUGGGUUGUUAAGUCAGUUGUGAAAGUUUGGGGCUCAACCGUAGAAUUGCAGUUAAUACUGGCAGUCUUGAGUACAGAAGAGGUAGGCGGAAUACGUGGUGUAGCGGUGAAAUGCUUAGAUAUCACGAAGAACUCCGAUUGCGAAGGCAGUUCACUGGACUGCAACUGACGCUGAGGCUCGAAAGUGUGGGUAGCAAACAGGAUUAGAUACCCUGGUAGUC